AGUUGAUUCUGGCUCAGGACGAACGCUGGCGGCGUGCCUAACACAUGCAAGUCGAACGGAAGCGUACAUUAGAAGUUUCGGAUGGAAGAUAUACGUUUAGUGGCGGACGGGUGAGUAACGCGUGAGUAACCUGCCUUUCAGAGGGGGAUAACGUUUUGAAAAGAACGCUAAUACCGCAUAACGUAGAGGAGUCGCAUGGCUUCAUUAACCAAAGGAGCAAUCCGCUGAAAGAUGGACUCGCGUCCGAUUAGCCUGUUGGCGGGGUAACGGCCCACCAAAGCAACGAUCGGUAGCCGGACUGAGAGGUUGAACGGCCACAUUGGGACUGAGACACGGCCCAGACUCCUACGGGAGGCAGCAGGUGGGGGAUAUUGCGCAAGUGGGGGAAACCCUGAACCGCAGCAACGCCGCGUGAAUGAGGAAGGUCUUCGGAUUGUAAAAUUCUUUUGUCAGGGACGAAGAAGUGACGGUACCUGACGAAUAAGCUCCGGCUAACUACGUGCCAGCCGCCGC
rnacentral:rRNA from 1 species